UACGAAGGGUGCAAGCGUUACUCGGAAUUACUGGGCGUAAAGCGUGCGUAGGUGGUUCGUUAAGUCUGUCGUGAAAGCCCCGGGCUCAACCUGGGAAUGGCGAUGGAUACUGGCGGGCUAGAGUGCGGUAGAGGGUGGUGGAAUUCCUGGUGUAGCGGUGGAAUGCGCAGAUAUCAGGAGGGACACCGAUAGCGAAGGCAGCUCGCUGGGACGGUACUGACGCUGAGGCGCGAAAGCGUGGGGAGCGAACGGG
rnacentral:rRNA from 1 species